GUGUGUGUGUGUGUGUGUGUGUGUGUGUGUGUGUGUGUGUGUUGUGUGUGUGUGUGUGUAGUGUGUUUGUCAGUGUGUGUAGUGUGUUUGUCAGUGUGUGUGUAUUGUGUGUUUGUCAGUGUGUGUGUGUAGUGUGUGUUUGUCAGUGUGUGUGUGUAGUGUGUGUUUGUCAGUGUGUGUCUGCAGUGUGUGUGUGUAGUGUGUGUUUGUCAGUGUGAGUGUGUAGUGUGUGUUUGUCAGUGUGUGUGUGUGUAGUCUGUGUGUGCAGUGUGUGUUUGUCAGUGUUUGUGUGCAGUGUGUGUUUGUCAGUCUGUGUGUGCGUGUAGUGUAUGUUUGUCAGUUGUGUGUGUUUGUCAGUGUGUGUGUGUGUGUGUAGUGUGUUUGUCAGUGUGUGUAGUGUGUUUGUCAGUGUGUGUGUAGUGUGUGCUUGUCAGUGUGUGUGUGUAGUGUGUGUUUGUCAGUGUGUGUGUGUAGUGUGUGUUUGUCAGUGUGUGUCUGCAGUGUGUGUGUGUAGUGUGUGUUUGUCAGUGUGUGUUUGUCAGUGUGUGUGUGUAGUGUGUGUUUGUCAGUGUGAGUGUGUAGUGUGUGUUUGUCAGUGUGUGUGUGUGUAGUCUGUGUGUGCAGUGUGUGUUUGUCAGUGUGUGUGUGCAGUGUGUGUUUGUCAGUCUGUGUGUGCUAGUGUGUGUUUGUCUGUGUUUGUGUGUGUGUAGUGUGUGUUUGUCAGUGUGUGUGUGUGUGUAGUGUGUGUUUGUCAGUGUGUGUGUGUAUGUGUGUGUGUGUAGUGUGUGUUUGUCAGUGUGUGUUUGUCAGUGUGUGUGUGUGUGUGUGUGUAGUGUGUGUUUGUCAGUGUGUGUGUGUAGUGUGUGUUUGUCAGUGUGUGUUUGUCAGUGUGUGUGUGUGUGUGUGUGUGUGUGUGUGUGUGUGUGUAGUGUGUGUUUGUCAGUGUGUGUUUGUCAGUGUGUGUGUGUGUGUGUGUGUGUGUGUGUGUGUGUGUGUGUGUGUGUGUGUGUGUGUGUGUGUGCAGUGUGUGUUUGUCAGUGUGUGUAUGUAAUGUGUGUUUGUCAGUGUGUGUGUGUUUGUAGAGAAAGAGGAAGUGUCUACUAGAACCACCACAGAGAGAACAGACUGAGGACAGACCUUAUUGAAGGUACUGUAACAGGAGUAGUGUAGGGUGUAGUGAAGGUACUGUAACAGGAGUAGUGUAGGGUGUUGUGAAGGUACUGUAACAGGAGUAGUGUAGGGUGUAGUGAAGGUACUGUAACAGGAGUAGUGUAGGAUGUAGUGAAGGUACUGUAACAGGAGUAGUGUAGGGUGUUGUGAAGGUGCUGUAACAGGAGUUGUGUAGUGAAGGUACUGUGACAGGAGUAGUGUAGGGUAUAGUGAAAGUACUGUAACAGGAUUAGUGUAGGGUGUAGUGAAGGUACUGUAACAGGAGUAGUGUAGGGUGUAGUGAAGGUACUGUAACAGGAGUAGUGUAGGGUGUUGUGAAGGUGCUGUAACAGGAGUUGUGUAGUGAAGGUACUGUGACAGGAGUAGUGUAGGGUAUAGUGAAAGUACUGUAACAGGAUUAGUGUAGGGUGUAGUGAAGGUACUGUAACAGGAGUAGUGUAGGGUGUAGUGAAGGUACUGUAACAGGAGUAGUGUAGGGUGUUGUGAAGGUGCUGCAACAGGAGUAGUGUAGGGUGUAGUGAAGGUAGCGUAACAGGAGUAGUGUAGGGUGUAGUGAAGGUACUGUGACAGGAGUAGUGUAGGGUGUAGUGAAGGUACUGUAACAGGAGCAGUGUAGGGUGUAGUGAAGGUACUGUAACAGAAGUAGUGAAGAUACUGUAACAGGAGUAGGUUAGGGUGUAGUGAAGGUACUGUAACAGGAGUAUUGUAGGGUGUAGUGAAGGUACUGUAACAGGAGUAGUGUAGGGUGUAGUGAAGGUACUGUAACAGGAGUAGUGUAGGGUGUAGUGAAGGUACUGUAACAGGAGUAGUGUAGGGUGUAGUGAAGGUACUGUAACAGGAGUAGUGUA
rnacentral:lncRNA from 1 species